rnacentral:lncRNA from 1 species
UACAGAAACCCAAACCUUUCGGGUGACCGUGAUCUUGUUCGUCUUUUUUUGCGAUCACCAGGUGAAGAAGAUCUAGAACGACUUCUCUUUCUGUUCCUCUCAGGAGAAGAUGAUGAACUUGAAUAAGAUCUUUUUCGUGGGGAAGAAGAGCCCCUGUGGGACCUGGAGCUGGAUCUUCAUUGAUUGAGAAACAAAUCAAACAUUUCAUUAAAAGAAGAAAUGAGGCAGAUCGUUCAGCUAACAGCUCCAAAAAUAAACAAAUAGGAUUUAUAACUGAAAAUUUUAUAAGAAGGAAUACUUACUGCAUACUCAACAGAAGACUUCUGGUUCAAUCACGAAAACAAUUCUACUUAAGUACAAUUACUUUAACAUCAUUUUUUUUUAACAUUCUAAGUGUUUAUCACUUAUAACUAAAGCAGAA